rnacentral:rRNA from 1 species
GUGAGGAAUAUUGGACAAUGGGCGCAAGCCUGAUCCAGCCAUGCCGCGUGCAGGAAGACGCAUCUAUGGUGUGUAAACUGCUUUUGUACGGGAAGAAACACUCCCUCGUGAGGGAGCUUGACGGUACCGUAAGAAUAAGGAUCGGCUAACUCCGUGCCAGCAGCCGCGGUAAUACGGAGGAUCCAAGCGUUAUCCGGAAUCAUUGGGUUUAAAGGGUCCGUAGGCGGUUUAAUAAGUCAGUGGUGAAAGACAAUCGCUCAACGAUGGAACGGCCAUUGAUACUGUUAGACUUGAAUUACAAGGAAGUAACUAGAAUAUGUAGUGUAGCGGUGAAAUGCUUAGAUAUUACAUGGAAUACCAAUUGCGAAGGCAGGUUACUACUUGUGGAUUGACGCUGAUGGACGAAAGCGUGGGGAGCGAACAGGAUUAGAUACCCGAGUAGUCC